CGUAGGUUGCGAGCGUUGUCCGGAUUUACUGGGCGUAAAGCGCGCGCAGGCGGUCUUGAAAGUCGAAUGUGAAAGCUACCCGGCCCAACUGGGAGAGGCCGUUCGAAACUUCGAGACUUGAAGGCGGGAGAGGCAGAUGGAAUUUCCGGUGUAGCGGUAAAAUGCGUAGAUACCGGAAGGAACACCAGUGGCGAAAGCGAUCUGCUGGCCCGCCCUUGACGCUCAGGCGCGAAAGCUAGGGGAGCGACCGGGAUUAGAUACCCCGUUAGUCCUAGCCGUAAACAAUGGGCACUAGGUGUUGUCGGUAUCGACCCCCGGCAGUGCCGAAGCUAACGCAUUAAGUGCCCCGCCGUGGGGAGUACGACCGCAAGGUUA
rnacentral:rRNA from 1 species